AUUUUAGAUUUUAUGAAGAGAUUUGGGAAAGUUUCCUUGUGUCUUUCAAUCGGUGGUUUCUUUGAUGUGGAUAAGAAAAUUCCUUUUAAGAUGGCGAGUACAUUGCAUUCUAUUCUUUCAGGACUUUUAAAAUUAAGUAAUGCAUUGAAAGGAAACAGGAAAUGUAACGAAAUAUUCUUAUCUAAUUCUACUGAAUCUAACUAAUAUACAGCGUAUGAAACCUCAUUGUUGGUAAAUAUUUUAUCAGAAAAGAAAUUUGUUACUUUUGUAAUAUAUUCACGAUACGAAAUUAAUACAACUUGCAAUAGACUUAUAUGUUGAAGAACGAAAUUCACUUCUUAAUUGAUUUUAAAACUUCAAGUGGAAUGCACAUAUAUGAGAUUAGCACAUACGAAAUGACAUUUUUUUCUGCUGUAAGCACGGCUGUGUUUGUAAAGAAACACUAUCGGAGCAGUAAUGAACCGUGAAAAGUGUGGUUUGUGCAGCGAUAAGUGAUAAAAAAUUUUGGAAACUGUGCUAGCUAGUUCUUACCACUAUAAAUUAAUGUAAUUAAUUGAUAGUCUAAGUUGACAAGAGAAGUUGUCUAUUGACAUAUGAGAAUUAAUUAAGAGAUUUGACAGUUUCAAUCAGAAUUUCUGUUUUCGACUGUCUUGUUUAUGUUUGAAUGACUAAUACAUAAGUUAUGGAACAAACUAUUUCUCAUCUAUUCUUUUUUAAGCAUCGAAUAUCCAAGUAAAAUGCAAUUUACUGCAGACACUUUUCAAGGUUGCUUUCUCAAGAAAGAAAAGCAACUAUAAAUAACACUGAUGUUGAUAAAUUAUACAUCUAUUGUUUUCUUUCUUUGGAAUCAAUUUAGAAAGGUGACGAUAAUACCAAUUUUUCAAAGUUAUAGAAAAUUGCAAUUUGAACAGCUGCAGAAAUGAAAAUCGAAUACAUUGUAUAUUGUGGAGAGAAUAAUUAUAAAAUCUACGUCAAUAUCAAGUGCUUUGUGAAAAAUCUAUUAUAAUAGUUCCAAAAUAACGAAGACGAAGUUCUAUUUAAGCAGGAGACAUCACAUUGCGGUGGUGUAACUAUUUAUAUCCGUUUUGUACAUGUAACAGAGUAGAUUUACAGAGUUUUCAUUAAAGUAUAGCAGUGGUUCACCACAGAUAACUGCCGAAAAUACAGUUUUCUUAAAUCAACGUUGUAGUCUUUGUAUGUUAUUAUGAAUAAA